UUGUGGGUAUAGUCCAUGACUUACAAAGUUACAAGUAUAAAUGUGUACCACUGGUAUGCCAACAUUGUACCAUCAAGUUGAUGAAUUUUCAAUCUGCAUGGAAAUUUCAAACUUGUUUGCUUAUGUUUGGUAGAUAAUCAUUAAAACAAAUUUGAAUUCUCAAUUUUGCUAUAUGAAGAAAUUCAGAGAAGGGAAUUUUACAUAGACAGACUUUUAGUUUAAUAGACUUUUGGUAGAGAAUUGAAAUUAAUAGCCAUGUUUUUCAAGCUUGUUAUAGUCAUAAUAGUAAGCCUAGCAGCAGCUGAAGAUCUCAAUUUCACCUACAAUGGUUUCCUGUCUGCUAAUCUUAGCCUAGAUGGCGUAGCCCAAGUCACAUCCAAUGGCCUUCUGAAGCUUACAAAUGACACUGGACUCGGCCAUGCCUUCUACCCCAACCCAGUAACCUUCAAGAACUCAUCCAAUGCUACCGCUUUCUCCUUCUCGACCACUUUUGUGUUCGCUAUCAGAUCCAGAUUCGGAACGCGUGUGGGUGGCAAUGGAAUGGCCUUUGUCAUUGCUCCGACAAGAGGGCUCCCCGGAGGUUUUAAAAACCAGUACCUGGGCCUUUUCAAUGAAACCAACAACGGCAACGCCAACAACCAUAUUUUUGCUGUAGAGCUUGACUCCUUCCAGAACCCCGAGCUUGGCGACAUCAACAACAACCAUGUUGGGAUUGAUAUCAAUGGUUUGCGCUCAGUGAACUCAACUCCAGCGGGAUAUCAUGCUCUAAACAAUGGCGGUUUCCGAAACUUGACCCUCAUCAGUGGUCAACCAAUGCAGGUUUGGGUGGAGGUCUUUGAAGUAUGACCUGUCCACGGUCCUUAACACGACCAUGUAUGUUGGCUUCUCCUCUACUGCUGGUGCACUCGUCACAUCUCAUUAUGUUCUAGGAUGGAGCUUUGAGAUGAAUGGCCAGGCUCUAGAACUUGUUCUCUCACAACUUCCUAAGCUGCCCCGGAUAGGACGUAAAAAAAUAUCUAAUUUUUUGACCGUUGGUGUGCCUGUGAUGUCUGUGAGUUUGGUUUUGCUAGCAAUUUCAAGUUUAAUUUAUGCCAUAAGAAGGAAGAAGAAGUUUGCAGAGCUGCUUGAAGAUUGGGAGCUUGAGUAUGGGCCUCAAAGGUUUAAAUACAAAGAGUUAUAUAUGGCAACAAAAGGGUUUAGGGAGAAGGAGCUUUUGGGAAGUGGGGGAUUUGGUAAGGUCUAUAAAGGCAUAUUACCUUCCUCCAAAACUGAGAUUGCAGUGAAGAGGGUCUCACAUGAAUCAAGACAGGGGAUGAAGGAGUUUGUUGCAGAAAUUAUUAGCAUUGGCAGACUUCGUCACCGAAAUUUAGUACCACUGUUGGGAUAUUGCAGAAGAAAAGGGGAGCUGCUCUUGGUCUAUGACUACAUGCCUAAUGGAAGCCUGGACAAAUACCUAUACGACCAACCAGCGGUCACUCUCAAUUGGAGCCAGAGGUUCAGAGUGAUCAAAGGUGUGGCUUCAGGGUUGUUCUAUCUUCAUGAAGAAUGGGAACAAGUUGUGGUUCACAGAGAUGUGAAGGCCAGUAACAUAUUACUAGAUUCAGAAUUUAAUGCAAGACUAGGAGAUUUUGGCCUUGCAAGAUUAUAUGACCACGGAAAGGACCCUAAGACUACUCGUGUAGUUGGAACACUUGGGUAUCUAGCUCCGGAGAAUGCAAGAUUAGGCAGGGCCACAACGCACACCGAUGUGUUUUCUUUUGGGGCAUUUUUGCUUGAAGUUGCCUGUGGAAGAAGGCCAAUACAGACACAAGGUCAAUAUCUGGAUGUGGUUCUGGUUGAUUUGGUGUUUUCUUGUUGGAAGAGAAGUAAUAUUCUUGAGGCAAUAGAUCUAAACUUGGGUUCAGAAUUCGUAGCUGAGGAGGUGGAAUUGGUGUUGAAGCUUGGGCUGUUGUGCUCUCAUUCAGAGCCCUCUGCUAGGCCAAGCAUGCGUCAAGUAGUGCAUUAUUUAGAGGGUGACAUUCCACUGCCGGAGUUGUCAUCUCUUGGUCUUUCUUCUGGUGGUGGCUUGAAGUUCGCACACCGCGAAGGUUUUGAUGAUUCGGCAAUGUCAUAUCCGUCUUCCAUGGGCAAGGAGUCAUAUGUUCCAGAGUCGGCACUUCCCUCAGGUGGUCGCUGAGGCCAAUCAAUUAAGAUUCUCACCCAAGUACGAGCCAUAGAACAUAUACAUGCAGCUUUGAAUGUUUCCUCUAGUUUAUUAGUUUGUAACUACUUACUUGUUACAAUAAAUCAAUGCUGCAUAUAAAAUAGGUGUUUUGUAUUA